UACGUAGGGGGCAAGCGUUGUCCGGAAUUAUUGUGCGUAAAGCGCGUGUAGGCGGCCAGAAAAGUCCGCUGUGAAAACUCGAGGCUCAACUUCGAGCUGUCGGUGGAAACUUUCUGGCUAGAGUCCGGAAGAGGAGAAUGGAAUUCCUGGUGUAGCGGUGAAAUGCGCAGAUAUCAGGAAGAACACCCGUGGCGAAGGCGGUUCUCUGGGACGGUACUGACGCUGAGACGCGAAAGCGUGGGGAGCGAACAGG
rnacentral:rRNA from 1 species